rnacentral:rRNA from 1 species
GCGCUCAUGGGCGGGACAUGGGACCCGACCCCGAAAGGGGAAGGGAAUCCCCUAAACCCGCCCUCAGUUCGGAUCGCGGGCUGCAACUCGCCCGCGUGAAGCUGGAAUCCCUAGUACCCGCGCGUCAUCAUCGCGCGGCGAAUACGUCCCUGCUCCUUGCACACACCGCCCGUCACUCCACCCGAGCGGGGCCCAGGUGAGGCCCGAUCUCCUUCGGGAGGUCGGGUCGAGCCUGGGCUCCGUGAGGGGGGAGAAGUCGUAACAAGGUAGCCGUAGGGGAACCUACGGCUCGAUCACCUCCUAUCGCCGGAAACCCCGUCCGGGGGAACUAAAGGGGUGCCGGGCCUGCCUUUUUCUGUGGGCCGGUAGCUCAGCCUGGAAGAGCGCCGCCCUUGCAAGGCGGAGGCCCCGGGUUCAAAUCCCGGCCGGUCCACCACGAAGAGUGAUGCACGUCCCGAGCAAGGCUCGGGGCGGAAGGGCCCUAGGCCCCCUAAUAGGGGGUCGCGAUGAGGGCCACGCAUAGGCGGGUGGCCCAAGAAGUGCCUGGCCCCUCCGGUAGGGGGGCUGGACGCCAAGCCGCCCGGUGGAUGGCUCGGCUCGGGGCGCCGACGAAGGGCGUGGCAAGCUGCGAUAAGCCCCGGCGAGGCGCAGGCAGCCGUCGAACCGGGGAUUCCCGAAUGGGACCUCCCGCGGCUUAUGCCGCACUCCGGGGCUUAUGCCCCGGAGGGGGAACGCGGGGAAAUUGAAACAUCUUAGUACCCGCAGGAAAAGAAAGCAAAAGCGAUGCCGUG